rnacentral:rRNA from 1 species
CUACGGGGUGCAGCAGUGAGGAAUAUUGCACAAUGGGGGGAACCCUGAUGCAGCAACGCCGCGUGGAGGAUGACGCAUUUCGGUGUGUAAACUCCUUUUAUAUGUCAAGAAAAUGACGGUAGCAUAUGAAUAAGCACCGGCUAACUCCGUGCCAGCAGCCGCGGUAAUACGGAGGGUGCAAGCGUUACUCGGAAUCACUGGACGUAAAGGACGCGUAGGCGGGUUGGAAAGUCAGGUGUGAAAUCCUACAGCUUAACUGUAGAACUGCACUUGAAACUUCUAAUCUAGAGGAUGGGAGGGGGAGAUGGAAUUAGUGGUGUAGGGCUAAAAUCCGUAGAUAUCACUAGGAAUACCUAAAGCGAAGGCGAUCUCCUGGAACAUUACUGACGCUAAGGCGUGAAAGCGUGGGGAGCAAACAGGAUUAGAUACCCUUGUAGUC